rnacentral:sRNA from 1 species
AUUUCUCUGAGGUGUUUGCCAGCGGGCCAGUCCCCUGAGCCGAUAUUUAAUACCAACAGAAUGUAGUGCUCCGUAACCGGUGAGCAUGCUCGGUCCGCCGAGAAGCCUUAAGGUUGCGACGCUGCGUUCACCUUGAAC